UGGAGUUACACAUAAAGAGGCUUUUGACUGAUCAGAUGGUUGAAUUACGAUGAUGAAUCGUGAUAGGAUUUGAUUAUCAAUUUGAUUGAUGAUUGAUCCAAUGUAAAAGUUACAAUCAAGUAACUCGCUAAAGAGUUAAUGAGUUAAAGGAAGAUUAAUUAGCAAUUGGAUUGCUAAGUGACUUAAUUUGAUUGAGCAAUGGGACUUGCAUCAAGUCUAAUUAAAUUAGAUUUAAUUUAACUUG
rnacentral:lncRNA from 1 species